AACAGUGCUGAAUUACACUGCUGUCACAACGACAUCAAGCAAAGUGUCACCAAGACGUCUUGUGUGUGUCAGACCAGCAGAGAUCUACUGUAACGGAUAUGAGCCCAAAACACCCAAACCCCUGAAGCGUAUAUUAACCUGGGAUUUCAACGAAUCAACAUUGUCAAGAAAGCUCAAGAAUGUCACGAACAUCCCUGUAAAUAACUGAUGGAUGAUGUAUGAAGGGAAAAUGCCGUCAAGAGAAGAAAGUGGUGACUCUGAGGAAGUCGAGGAGCAAAGGCAAUAAGAAGGAGGACUUCAGUCGUGACAGUAAGUCUCAACAUAUAUUUAUUAAAUAAUAAUAAUACUGUUUUUUGACUCAUUAUUCAAACCUAAACCUAUGUACUUAUGUAUACUUGACACAUCAUCGCUAAACUUUU